rnacentral:lncRNA from 1 species
ACUAGCGAGCUUAAGAUCUACAACGCGAACUUACGACGCGGACGUCGCAUUAAACAAGUUUUAUUUUAAAACGAUGGCAAAUUCCAUUAAAAUAUUUGUAUCACAGUAAAUAAAAUGAAAUUAUACUGGAAAAAAUGUACAACAUAACAGAGGCUAGCAAUAUAUUAAGAAGAUAUUUUUUAUCAUAAGUUUUUACGACUUCUAUGACGACGAAUCUUUGCAAAUAUCACGUCGUCUCGGAUGGUAGUUUUGGCGGGAAAAUGUGCAUUCGUAACAAUAGUCUAUAAAGCCUGGUUUCUAUCAUUUCAUAUGGCUGUUAACGUGUCAUCACAGUGUCACAAAUCUCAAAGAAAUAAACUCUGACAACUCUGACUAGGCUUACACGCGAAAACUAGGCUUCGGUAAGCACGUCCGCGUCACAAAUUCGCGUUGUAGAUCUUAAGCUCCCUAAUGUCUC